rnacentral:rRNA from 1 species
CCAGAGAACUUAGCAGAGAUGCUUUGGUGCCUUCGGGAACUCUGAGACGGGUGCUGCAUGGCUGUCGUCAGCUCGUGUUGUGAAAUGUUGGGUUAAGUCCCGCAACGAGCGCAACCCUUAUCCUUUGUUGCCAGCGGUCCGGCCGGGAACUCAAAGGAGACUGCCAGUGAUAAACUGGAGGAAGGUGGGGAUGACGUCAAGUCAUCAUGGCCCUUACGAGUAGGGCUACACACGUGCUACAAUGGCGCAUACAAAGAGAAGCGACCUCGCGAGAGCAAGCGGACCUCAUAAAGUGCGUCGUAGUCCGGAUUGGAGUCUGCAACUCGACUCCAUGAAGUCGGAAUCGCUAGUAAUCGUAGAUCAGAAUGCUACGGUGAAUACGUUCCCGGGCCUUGUACACACCGCCCGUCACACCAUGGGAGUGGGUUGCAAAAGAAGUAGGUAGCUUAACCUUCGGGAGGGCGCUUACCACUUUGUGAUUCAUGACUGGGGUGAAGUCGUAACAAGGUAAGCGUAGCGAG